CCAGCUGGCCUACGGGCAGGACGGGCAGCUGAAGGGCUUUGCCGUGCUGGAAUUGGAGUCCCCGGAAUGGGCCGAGCGAGUCCAGGAGGCCACGGACGGAUUUCCCUUGGCCGGGAAUCACAUCCGGGUGUCCUUCUGCGCCCCCGGCACCCCCGGCAGGAGCACCCUGGCCGCCCUCAUCGCCGCCCAGGCCACGGCCCUGAACCGCGGGAAGGGGCUCCUUCCCGAGCCCUCCCUGCUGCAGAUCCUGCGGAGCCUCGGCAACCCCACCUCGCUGCAGCUGCUGCUCCCGGCCCUGCUCCAGGGAAAACAGGGAAUUCUGGGAG